rnacentral:lncRNA from 10 species
CAGAACAGAAGCACCAAGAAAAUUAUCACCAUUAUUAUCAUCAGAGGUUAAGAAGCAGCAAUGCCCCUCUUGUGGCAAGAGUUGGCAGCGUGCGGUUGGUAUGUCAAUGCAUCCAAGGUCCAAGGGCCUGGAUUGUCUGCCAAAUGCUUGGGAGUUGUUUGAUCAGGUUGACAUGCUCCAACAGCAUUGUGGACUGGGCCCACACCUACGCUGAGGUGACCAAUGUCUCCAACUGUUGGAUCUGCUCCACCUUCCAGCAGCAGCUGCGGAGAGUUUGCCCUGGAACGCGUAUCCUGCUUCUGUUAAGAACUGGACAUGGCUAGAAGCUUGGGGUCCCACGGACAAUGGGUGGGAUGCCACAGGGCGGGCUUUGGAUAGGAGGCAUCACAAAACCCAUGGCAAACCUGGCCCUUGGCUGACUCAUAGUGUCCAUGAUGGAUGGAGCUGGCUAAUGGGAGAACACGUGGUGCCCCCAUUGCAGGUAUCACAAUGUAUAGAGCAGCACUGGGGUAAAGUCACUGUGGGAUGGUUGCCUACUGAGGUUUGUGCAAACAUAACAUGUGUCACCACACCAAGGGUGCAGUGGAACAAGCGGCCUUACGAAGGCCAGGCCCCCAUGGACUUUGUGCCCCCUGGGAGUUUAUGGGUCUGUGGGGA